AUUUGACGCACAGCGUGUAGUGUCCUGCUAUCGGAAAGUUUGCACGGUAGAAUCAGGAAGUCCAGCACAACGUUAGUGUCAGACGGUUACUGCUGAGGACUUCAAAGCGGUGAAACCCUCUCGUAAUGCUGACUGGACUUCUCAGCCAUGUGGGUGACAGCUGAGUCCAGGCCUCCUCUCUGUGGUGGAACUCUGAUAAGGAUCAACCAGUGACUCCAGUAGGAAUGUCUUACUGGUCUGUUGGCCUUCCCCAGGACUCUGGAGGCACUGCCAGCGAAAUGGAGCAACAAAGCAGCCCUGGGGAGGAAAUGGGAGCCAAGGUAUCGUUGGUUGAGGGUCCAGGUCCCGGCUCUGCACUGGUUCCUUCUCCCACUCUGGAGAACAUCCGGGCAGCCUAUGAAGAUGGAGAGGGGGAGGCUGCCAGGGAUUUGAUCCAACAAGCCUGCUGUGUGGAGUGCAGCGCAGGGAUGCCCCACAUCAACGGGGUGAGCACACUUAAAGUAUACAGUCACAUUGUCAACUGCUCUGCUGGUUGCACUAUGAUCAUCACUUUAAAAUUAUGUGUAAUGUGGGGUAGAAACUGGUCACAGUGAUACGCUGACAAGUCUUUGCUUUGCUUUUAUGAAGAAAAAAAACAUGUUUGUACUUUGAUUACAUACUGUACAUAGUAAAUUAGUGUGGAAGAGUUAUAUCGUAAAUGAUGUUGGUUGGGCACCAAUGACUAGUGUGAAUUCAGGGUUUUUCCUGGCUCAGAAUGGGCUUUUAGGGGGACACAUAUUAAAGGUGCUGUAGGUAGGAUUGCGAAGAUCCAGGACUUUAAAAAAAAAUAAAAAAAUGAACAUCAACAACUUCUCAGUCCCUCCCCCCUUUCCGCUAAAGUCCAAAACGGUCUCCUAAGUCCCUCCCCCCACAAGGGAGAAUAAAUGCGUGUGCAUUAGCAGUGAUUGACAUGCAGUUAGACACCCCCCUUGCCCUGAUUGGUGCAU
rnacentral:lncRNA from 1 species